rnacentral:rRNA from 1 species
CCUACGGGGUGCAGCAGUGGGGGAUAUUGCACAAUGGGGGGAACCCUGAUGCAGCGACGCCGCGUGGGUGAAGGAGCGUUUCGGCGCGUAAAGCCCUAUCGGCAGAGAAGAAGGUGGACGGUACCUGACUAAGAAGCCCCGGCUAACUACGUGCCGGAAGCCGCGGUAAUACGUGGGGGGCAGGGGUUAUCCGGAUUUACGGGGUGUAAAGGGGCCGCAGCCGGCAGGGCAGGCCAGUGGGAAAAGCCCGGGGCUAACCCCAGGACUGCCCUUGGAACUGUGAGGCUGGAGUGCGGGAGGGGCAGGCGGAAUUCCUGGUGUAGCGGUGAAAUGCGUAGAUAUCAGGAGGAACACCGAUGGCGAAGGCGGCCUGCUGGACCGCGACUGACGUUGAGGCCCGAAAGCGUGGGGAGCAAACAGGAUUAGAUACCCGAGUAGUC